GCGGCCCUCGUCGCUCAUGCGCUGGCUUUCCUUCACCUUGGCAAAGGCGCCUGCCCAGGAGAGCAGAGGACAGCAGAACCCAGAAAAAGGCCUGGUGCACAGCAGAUCCUGACAGGUAUCAACCCAUCUUCACUGUACUGCUGCAACGGUACCCAGGGCCUCCCCACCCUGGAGUCUCUGAGAAGUUCUCUGCAGUGCCCAAAAGGGUCCUUGAAUCUGGGCACCUUCUCUGGCUCCCCAUGGCCUGCAGAUCAAGAUCCACGCCUAUCUGCCUGGCCAGGAGGCCCUCUGGGAGUCGGCCCCUGCGUGCAUUCCACACUGGCCCCAUGUCUGUCAAACUCACCCUGCUCUUUCCUACCUUCCUACUUCUCCCCACUAGAGCCCUACUCACAAUUCAAGGCCCGAUCAGGUGCUGCUUCUACAGGGGAGCCUCCCCCGCUCGCCCAGGCAGAAGUCUCUCCCAUCUCACCUCUGCCCUGGCUCCCACUCCCACCCCUACCCACAUCAGUGCACUUCCAAGGCCACCUGGCUGUCUCCUCCUCACUCCAGCCCCCAGGGGCCUAGAGGAGGCUUUAGUAAUAACCAGGUGACAGAUGGGGGAGGAAGAACCUGGGCAGGAGACCAAAUUUGGAAAAAUCUGAAUGAAUCAACAAGCAGUUGGUGAAUGAAUUUCAGUUCUCAAUUGAAAGACAUUUGACUGAUCUGCCUUUAAGCCAGUGGGGACACUUGCUGGAAGAGGAGGCAGUGUGCCUGUGCCCAGCACUGACUCCAGGGAUCCGCUAUGCCAAGAAGGCUAGGAGGUGGAAGGUGGCGUGGGGGACAGCACACACCUGAGCACUUCAGAAGUACCCACUGCACACAGACAGCAAGCUGCCCCUGCUCUCCACUUCUCGAGGGGGGCUUCUAGAUGGCAUUCUUUUUACUUUCACACAAGUUGUCUGGUGCAUUCAAAAUGCAUUUAUUUAGCACUUACUAUAUAUGCCAGGCCUAGGGCUCUACAUGCUAGAGAUAACUCCAGAUGUCUUUAGAAGGGGCAACACCCGUAUUAGUUGGCAAGUGCACGGCUAAUUGCUCAUAGUAGCCUUUCAGGCAGAUAGACUCAAGAUCAGAGUCUCCAGGGGCUGCACAUACAGCACCCAAAAGAAAUGUGCAGUCCCCGGGUCCCAGCCCACUCCCAGUCCUUCUGCCACCUUCCCUGAACUGCCCCUACUCCAUCCUAACAGCCCAGCCCUGGGCAACAGAAAGGGGAUCACCCCAAGGCCCAGUAUGGGACCCAGGAAGAAACUUCAGAGCUGGAGAGGCCCGAGAAGUCAGCUGUCCAACCCACACCCCCACGCCACUACGGCCCUGAGGGGGCAGGGAUUUGCCUAGUGGCUGCCAGCCUCCUUCCUGCCCCAUGGGGGGGAUGCCUGGCCCUCCGUGGCUGGGGGGUGGAUACCACUUCUGCUGCAGUGAGCCCAUGUUGGGCUCUCCAGGCAUAUGUGUGGGGCCCCAGACAAUGGACACAGGGAUCCAAAAAGGCCCUAAGGUAUAGGAAGGACCAUAAGAGGAAAGGUAGAACACAGCAGGACAAAGGAACCGAGUUAAACUUCAGCAAAAGGAACCUCCCUGAGGCGGGCAGAUGCUGAGCUAGCCUGGAUUCCACCUGCCCGAGAAAGUCAGAGUACAGUGGGGGUGGAUCUGUAUACUCAAGGGUUUUUCCGCCCAUGGCCUUAGAGGAAGGAAAAGCCCCUUUUGUUGAUGAGAAGACUUGGCCCAAGUAGUAGGAAUGAACCUAUUCCAAUUGCUAUAUAUCCACAGACAGACAAGGGGCCAGGGAUGGGGGGGCAAAGGCCACAGAGGUCGGAGAGAGGAGGAGUCCCCACCCUGCUCUCUGUCACUUCUCUACCCUGUGACUCAGUUUCUGGGGCCAGGACCAGCUAACACCAACACACCCCACCCACCAGGCCGAGAGUCAGGCUCAGGCCUGUCCAGCAUCCCUACAUUCCACGUAGGGCCCGACCUGAGAGCUGAGGACCCGAGGGAGCCUUCUGUCCUGGCAGCUCUCCUGCAGGUCCCAGGAGGGGAAAGGAGGGUUGCUGCAGAGGCCUGGGUCCCAGGCAUAGUCCCUAAGCUCCCAGCUCAAUCCAUCUUGCUCCUACCUCUUAGAGGUAGUUCCCAGCCACCCCAGGUUUGGGGCAGGAUGUCUGGCAGGAUGUCUGGGCAGGAUGUCCCAGCUGUGUCCCCUCCAGCAAGCCACUGCUUUCCAGCCUGUAGACCUGGACUACAGGUCUCCCAGUGUCAAAUGGGACAUGUUGCACUAGAUGUGAUGCUGUUGACAACUGCUCACAACGGUAUAGUGCUUUAGCGUUUCCUCAUCUGUAAAAUGGGAUAAUAACAGCACCUGCCCUGUGGUAUAGCUGAGGCUUAACUGAACUUUGUAUACAGCACCAAGGACCUCACCUGAGAUCGCAUAAGAGCUCAAGAUGCUACAUGCUACAUUGUGCAAACUGCUUUUUUACCCUUGAGCUCACAGCAAGCACCAGCGGUGGUGGCUCAUGGCAGUAUUAUUCCCUUUGUUUAUGGAAGCCCAGGAGGGGAGGUAGAGGGAGAGUUAGAUGAUGGCCCAGAACCAACAGAGGCUGACCCACCUGUCCCCAGGCAAGAGCCUGUGCCUACAAGGCCACUCUGCUUUGGCCAAGCUGUGAGCCCACAGAUGCUCCAUGGUCCGGGGCCUGCCUCUAGUCCAUAGAGGAUGCCAGCCGAGCAAGCCCAAGGACGCCAAGCCUGGCUCCUCCUCCUUCCCCUUCUAGCUUAUCUGUCCUGGCUUUCCAUCCCUCGGGGAGCCCCUGCCCCCAAAUGCCUGGUACAGUGGAACAGCCUGGGCCGUGGGGUCAGACACGCCAUGGCCGGUUCCUGCUCUGGCGCGCCGUCUCACCUCACCGCGCCUCAUCUGCCAGGGAGGCGAUGGCAUCGACCUCGCCACUUGUGUGAGUCUCAGCCCUGCCCUCGCUGGCUCUCAGGUGGGGAGCAUAGGUCCUGGCUGGCCCUGGACAGUCACUUUCCCCUUGUUGCCCGGUGAUAACAACUGCUAGGGCCCCCUUUCACCCCUAAAACUGCCCCAGUUUGGACAGCUAAUUAUAGGGUUACCCUUUUCUUAGGAGACAUCUAGACUGGGCUCCAAGGCCUGGGCCAGUGGGCAGGCCAGGCUGGGGGCCUGGCCUCAGCUCUAGCCACGCUUCAUGUCCCAUUUUAUUAACAUAGAGACUCUCCCAAGGUCAUCUCAAAGGCAAAGUCUGUCCAAAUCCUGGUCUCCCAACUCCCCACCUGGGCCUCCGCCCUCCCUCCUCCCACCAUCCCCACCACACUUGCCACCCAUUCAGAUGUCCAGACAGUUGGACAGAAUCCUGGGGACUCAAGAUGUAGCUGUCCUGCUCCUUCCUCUGAGAACGGUUCUACUCACAGAGCCACCUUGGGACCCCUCCCCCCAAGCCCUUGUGGGGCUGUGGUCCCCAAAGCCACCCAGUUCUGUCUCAGCCAGAUUCCCAGCCUCUCCCAGUUUGCCCCACACUACAGGCCUGGAAGGGGCAGCCCCAAAGGGCCUGGCCUGCCAGCAGGUUGUACUGGACGAGGGCAGGGGGCAGCCUCUGCUUUAGGGUCGGCACCCCGACUCCCAGAAACACCUGCAGUGGAAACCCAGAAAUGGCCUCUCCCAGCUCCGUCUCCCGGUCCAAGGGUCGGAAAGGCGGGUCUGAGCCUGGGAGUGCUGGGUGCCCCGGGUAUGGGAUUGCCUUUAUGCCCUCCGCCCUGCUCUGCUGAGGGUCCCCAGCCACUGCACGGGGCAGCUGCGUCACCAUUGUGUCCCAGCCUCCUGCUGCCCACUCAGGAACAAGCCACUGAGGAGCUGGUUGAACCAGCUUUCCCACUUCCGCACAGGGAGACACCUGUCCGCAUGCACCCCCAGCUGCCACUACCUGCCCUGCCCUCCCUUGGCCCAGAGCUAGGUCUGAGGCAUCACUCUGCUUCUGGGCCAGACCCUCCGGGCAGUCCCCUCCGACUCUUCCCUUGAAGGCCUGAGAACCCACUGGGGCCCCUUUCCUUGCUUUGUGGGUUAGGAAACUAAAGUCCAGAAAGGCAAAGGCACUUCCAAGGGACACACCGCAAACUGGGGACUCUGUCCCCAAAGCCAAGACUAGAGCUCAGGUUUGUGUUUCCUGAAACUGAAAAGAGGAAGAAGAAAGGUGGAGAUAAGGACAAAAGGGGGGUUAGGGCAUAAA